UGUCUCUGAUUGCCCUGGGAUUCACGCAUACUUCAGUCUACUGGAGCUUAUUUGAUCUCAAAAGGUGACAUCUUUUCACUUAUUCAAUUAGUUCUGUUCCUGGGUUUUUGCUUAAAUUUUGUUUCUGAUUGGUAAGUAGAAAUUCUAUGUUUUUUUUUUUUUUUUUCCUACAUAAAGAACCCAGAUUUCAGUCCUCUAUAAGCUCAAACAAACCCUAUCUCAAUAAAUUUCCCAUGUUUUUGAAGAGGGGUUUUAGAAAAUUUCAUCUGUGCAUCUGGGGUUUUGUCAAUCUUGAGUUUGGGUUGCUUCUGUAGUCGAUUUACUUAUGUAGACAAUUACUUCAUAGGUUCUGGUGUAUCUGGGCUUUUUUUUUCUUUACUUAUAUACACAAGAUGCUUUUUGAGUCUUUUCACAAUACAUCCAACAUUUGUCUUUAACUCUGUUUUGUUGUUCAUAAAUGAAGCCCGAGUAUAAUCAUGCUUAGGCCCACUUACAGUGUCCACAAAACAUCACAUAAGCAAUUGAAGUAAAAAACACAUUCAGACAAAAGAAACAUUGUAGUGUAAGAUGAGAUAAACAAUCUCCAUCAAUAUGAUAUAUCCUUUAUUGAGUUCCUUUUAUCGAGGCUUAGAAACAGUUCACAAUUUCACAUGUUGUGCAAUGUUAAAGGUUAAAGGGACUUCAUUUAUUUGAUGUUCAUUUAGUUUUAAGUUUCACUUUGGUACUGGUGAAAAUUUAGUAUCACAAGAAGGUAGGCAACUUCAAAAGCUCUAGGUUUUGUUUUAACUAAUGUAACACAAUUGUUUUUGGAUUGAAUUGGCCCUAAGAUCUGACUUGAAUUUGAGCCUUUCUAGCUUUUGCAGAUCACUGUAUCCUCUGUAAUGAGUCUGAACAUACUAUACAGAACUAUUAUUAUAUUUUUUCGUGCAAUUUGGGAAUAGUAUUGCAUUAAAUCUAUGCUAUGGACUUUUUUUUUAUAAUUAUUGUAUUAGAGGGCCACAAUAAAGAAGUUUGUUUUGAAAAAUUUUGGUUAAAGAUCACUUUCCUCUGUUAUACAGCAUGAAAUUUUGUUUUUCCUAUAUGAUUCUGAUUAUUGUUAGAAGAUAAAAGAAAUUGAUCCGAGUAGUUGAUACUGUUUUUGCUCUUCCUGAUGCUCCUUUCUAUCUUAGAUAACUAUAUCACAAGAUCAGGAGUUGGAAUUGCUUCUUGCGAAGCUUUCUCUAUGAACUGAAGCUUUCAGGCAGUGGUUAGUUGCAGUUCAAAUUAUUUUGUGGAGUUAGAGAUCAUAAUCAUUUUGCACUGGGAUCUAUGUAACUACAUGUUAGUCUCAUUGUAAUGUUCGUAUCCAACGUGCUGAUAGAUGUUUAAUUGUUUGUUCUGUUGUUCAUCUUAAAGAAUGAAAAGAUUUGUGUAUACAUUUCUCUUAAGGUAUAACUUUAAUAGACAUUCUUUAAAAAAAAAAAAAAAAAAAAAAAAAGCUGUAUAAUUUUCUUAAAAAAGCGUCGGCUGACAACACAUGCAUACAUUUAUAGUUUAUUCCAGGCAGUAAAACAUUAACCAACAUAAACAGCUAGGAUGUUUAUCGUAUAUAACUCUCAAAAUACAUCCAACAUUUGUCUUUAACUCUGUUUUGUUGUUCACAUAUUUAUUUGUCUGCAUUUAUGUACAUUUGAGGACAAUGGACAUUUCGUGGGCAUUGUCAUGGAUCGGCCUCUUUUACUAUUUCGGGGUCAGAGGGUUGCGCCAAGACCAUGCCAAGGCAUUGUCGUGGUUUCUCAAGUCUGUGGAGAAGUGACAGCCAAGGGCUAUGGAGUUUCCUGGGGAGAUUUAUGCUAGAUGAGCUGGGGUUGAGAGGAAUUACACCAGGGCUCUGGAGUGGCUUACAUCAGCAUCUAAACAAGAACUUUAUUCGACGUAUAAUGGGAUAGGCUGUUUGUAUGUUAAAGGAUAUGGAGUGGAGGAGAAGAACUACACUAAGCACUGACAAAGCGAAAGAAACAAUCAUUACUAAUACAAAAGACAUAUCAAUGGUUUUGCUGCCACCCUUGAAGAGGAAGAAGCAGCUGAAAUUGCAAAGCAUCCAAAUGUUGUCUCAGUUUCUUAAACCAAGAAAGAAAUUGCAUACAGCCCAUUCAUGGAAUUUCGUGCUACUGGAAAAGAACGGAGUGAUUCGCCCCAGUUCUUUAUGGAAGAAGGCCAGAUGUGGCGAGGAUCGCAUUUUGACACUGGUGUGUGGCCCGAAUCAGUGUGUAAGUGACAAAGGGAUUUGACCCAUUCCAUCAAUGUGGAAAGGAAUCUGUCAGAAUGAUACCACUGGGUUUUCCUGCAACAGGUUGUCCUGAAAGUGAUGAGGCAGUGAACUUGGAAUACAAGAUCAGGUUUGUCAUUGGAUUGUUCAAUGAGAUGCAGAUUAAUGAAGCGAGGCUGGUUUUUAAUGUGUAUGUCACUAAGCAAUGGCUAAUUAUAUGAUGAGUGGAGAAACUCAUACUACAGACUACAUGGUGCCUGAUGUCAAUGGAAAUGGUCCAGUUGACAACUAUGGCUAUGAGAAUAUCAUGGAGGAUCCUGCGCAGAACUGUCUAACGGUUCAUUUCUGAGAUCAGCGAAUUUUGUAUGAGAACACCUGCCUUCAUCUGUUGAGGAACCUAUUGGAGAGCCCCAGAAGCAGACCUAUGCUUCUAUAUUGCAUUUUGCUAAAGGACAACCUGCACCAUCUGUAGCUCCUUGGCAUUCAGUUAACAAGAGUGCACCACUGGCUUCAGAUUGGAAUGACUUUUCAGCCCAUUGCAUCGUCCAAUGCAGUUGAAAGGCCUGUAGCAGAGACAGCAGAUGAAAUUUCUGCCCUAGAAGAAUGAAGGUGAACCUCAUGGCUUCCUUCAAUCGUUGCCGUUGAGCUGUGGGGAUUCUGCCUUUAUGAGUUAUUUGAAAUACUGCUCUAUUCUUUUGUAAUGGUGUUACAUAUAUUUGAUAUAUCUGGUUGUUGCAAUACUGAUUUUAACAAUUUUCUUUAAAUAAGGCCUUUGACAGCAAUAUUUAAUAAUAUGUUAUUUGUAAUA